rnacentral:rRNA from 1 species
UACGUAGGGUGCGAGCGUUUAAUCGGAAUUACUGGGCGUAAAGCGUGCGCAGGCGGCUUCGCAAGUCAGACGUGAAAUCCCCGGGCUUAACCUGGGAAUGGCGUUUGAAACUACGGAGCUGGAGUGUGGCAGAGGGAGGUAGAAUUCCACGUGUAGCGGUGAAAUGCGUAGAUAUGUGGAGGAAUACCGAUGGCGAAGGCAGCCCCCCUGGGAUAACACUGACGCUCAUGCACGAAAGCGUGGGGAGCAAACAGG